rnacentral:rRNA from 1 species
UUGAACGCUGGCGGCAUGCCUUACACAUGCAAGUCGAACGGUAACAGGUCUUCGGAUGCUGACGAGUGGCGAACGGGUGAGUAAUACAUCGGAACGUGCCUAGUAGUGGGGGAUAACUACUCGAAAGAGUAGCUAAUACCGCAUGAGAUCUACGGAUGAAAGCAGGGGACCUUCGGGCCUUGUGCUACUAGAGCGGCCGAUGGCAGAUUAGGUAGUUGGUGGGAUAAAAGCUUACCAAGCCGACGAUCUGUAGCUGGUCUGAGAGGACGACCAGCCACACUGGGACUGAGACACGGCCCAGACUCCUACGGGAGGCAGCAGUGGGGAAUUUUGGACAAUGGGCGAAAGCCUGAUCCAGCAAUGCCGCGUGCAGGAUGAAGGCCUUCGGGUUGUAAACUGCUUUUGUACGGAACGAAAAAGCUCCUUCUAAUACAGGGGGCCCAUGACGGUACCGUAAGAAUAAGCACCGGCUAACUACGUGCCAGCCGCCGCCGUAA